rnacentral:siRNA from 1 species
CAUGCCCUUGAUGUUUUAACCAC